AAAAAAUACUCCACAAAUAAUUCAACAACUCCGGCAUCCAAAAGAAAAAUUGGUACAGUGAACAAAAAAUAGGCCACAAAUCCCAUCAAUCAUAAGAAUCAGAAAAACAAUAAUAGCUCUGCCUCACUUUCUCUUUCCCUGUGUGUUUAUACAUCUACCCAUGAAACUUAACCACAAAAAAUCCUUGCAAAUUUCCCAAUAUCCAAAACGAAUACAGCCUACACUGAUGAAAAGGUCCAGAACCAAUCCAUAGCAGGUGAAGAUCAUUAACAGUCGCAACUGUAAAAUUUAAUCGUAGAACCUGAAUUUCUUGCAGUAACUCAAAAAAUCUCAAUAACCCACCAAUGCAAUCCCCAAAUAACAAACUUAACACAAACAAUUACACAGAAGAAAUGCAUGCAUAGAUUGGCAUACAGUUUUUUAAAAAAUAAAAACAGUCAAAACUCACAGCGUUACGAAGCUGAGGACCA
rnacentral:misc_RNA from 1 species